rfam:Dendroctonus ponderosae Seq01018440, whole genome shotgun sequence.
GUCGCUUCUCGGCACAUUAUGCUAAGAUCAAAGUGUAGUAACUGUUCUUAUCAGCUUAAUAUCUGAUACAUGCGGGACUAGUAUAUUAAACUGAUUUUUGGAAAUUGACGGAGGAAAUUGAUGGGGGCUUGCUCCACCUUUAUUGCGAGUUUGCCUGAUAUUGCAGUUCAAUUAAGAUUAGCCUAUUUGAU